GGCCCCUGGUGGCGGAGGGGACACUGCGGCGUGGCGCCGGGAGCGCUAGGAAAGGGGCUUGGCGGAUGGCCCCAAAGAUGCCCCGACCUUGGUGGCCCGCAGGGACUCUUAACACGCCUGGCGGCUCCCACAGUGACCCGGAGCCGCCGGAACCUCCGGAGAUGCGGGCGGGAUGCUCUCCCAGGGGGUACAACUUUGGAAAUGAGGAGAAAGGUGCAGUAAACUGGCGACCUUAGGAGGAUAGAGGCACUCUGUGACAGCACUUUGGGCAGACACCAGAGCCAGAAUGGCGAGGAAGGACACUGCUGGAAGGAGUGUCUGUGGGGUAUUUCAUCCACUCCAGUACCGCGGAGUGCCACCAGCAUGACCCUGGUACCUCAGCCAGAGAACGUUUUCAGUUGUCAAAACAGAAGAGAAGCCAGGUGGCAUCUGUAUAACCUGGACUUUGCAGGGCCUGAUGAUGAUCACGUUUCAGCAUUUCCAAUUAAUCUUGGAAUGAGAGCCCAAGGCAAGAAGCCAGUGGUGCCUGAGGAAUGCUAAAGAGCAAACCGAUCCAGGGAAACAAAUGCCAGCAAGGGACCCCACAGCAAAGAGACAGACACUGUGAGCAACUCUCCUGUUACCAUGAGGCUUGCGAGGCGUGUGCGCGGGUCUCCGCAUUGGCACCAUCUGCCAAUUCCUCAGGAGGACAGAACAAACCAGCGAGGCAUGAAGAUUAGAUUAUGUAACGCUCGAGGAUUGCUGUUUUCAAAGAGGAAACAAAUGGAACAAAUUGAUUUGUUUGUCAGAGUCAUGUCACUGUCAGAGACCCGUUCCCUCCUUCUCCAAGAGGACCUCAUUAAAGGGGGAAAUGAUUGCACAGAUUCACAACAUGUGAGACCACAAUCAGCUCCAUUCAUAAGAACAAGUCCAAUUUCCAGAGUUGCACUGAUAAAUCCUGCUCUGUCCCCUUGCCAGAAAAAUGACUAUUCCCUACUACCUACUAGGUACUGACAUGGCAAGGAACGUAACUGCCAGUCGCCUGUCACAAGAUUCAGAACCUGAGUGCUUUCCUGAACUGACCUCACUUGCUUCUGCGGGAGCAGUAGCCAAUUUUGAGACCAGUGGGGUCAUGUUUACUAUUCAGAGCUCUAAACAGGUGCUUUGAUAGAGUGGGGAUGUAUUCUUAAAAAUACAUGCAUCAGUAACAUUGUAUGGUGACAGAUGGUAACUACGCUCAUCUUGGUGAGCCCUGAGUAAUGUAUAGAGUUGUUGAAUCAGUGUUGUGCACCUGAAACUAAGAGAAUAUUGUAUAUCAACUAUACUUUGAUAAUUAAUUUUUUUCACUUACAUGGGGCAAGAAGGAGAAUUCAUCGCAUGUCUGGGAUUCUUUUGCCAUUGCUGGGCCUCUCUCAAAAUGCUAAGCAGAAUAAUUUUUAUGGUCACGUUCAGUAGAAGAAUAAAUGAAUAAACAAUAACCCUGAA